GACGAACGCUGGCGGCGUGCUUAACACAUGCAAGUCGAACGAAGAGCGAUGGAAGCUUGCUUCUAUCAAUCUUAGUGGCGAACGGGUGAGUAACGCGUAAUCAACCUGCCCUUCAGAGGGGGACAACAGUUGGAAACGACUGCUAAUACCGCAUACGAUCUAAUCUCGGCAUCGAGGAUAGAUGAAAGGUGGCCUCUACAUGUAAGCUAUCACUGAAGGAGGGGAUUGCGUCUGAUUAGCUAGUUGGAGGGGUAACGGCCCACCAAGGCGAUGAUCAGUAGCCGGUCUGAGAGGAUGAACGGCCACAUUGGGACUGAGACACGGCCCAGACUCCUACGGGAGGCAGUAGUGGGGAAUCUUCCGCAAUGGACGAAAGUCUGACGGAGCAACGCCGCGUGAGUGAUGACGGCCUUCGGGUUGUAAAGCUCUGUUAAUCGGGACGAAAGGCCUUCUUGCGAAUAGUGAGAAGGAUGGACG
rnacentral:rRNA from 1 species